AACCAUAGAAACCUGCGGAGUACCUGCGGAGGGAUCAUUAAAAAAAAUUUAAUGAAUGGUCGAAGGGGAACAUUUCUUGUACCCCUUUGACUUUAUUCAACCAACCCGCUCUUGUAUUUUGUAUCAAACAAAAACUUUUUAAAAACUAAUAAAAUAGUAAUGUAAAAAAAACUUUCAACAACGGAUCU
rnacentral:misc_RNA from 1 species